CAGCUGUACAGCACCGACCCGCGGGUCACUCACGGUGCCGUGGUUGCCGCCGCUAGGUGGCACGCCGUUGGGCGCGCCGGUCGGCGUCUGGCGAACUCUCGCUGUCAUGGGGGAGUCCUCCGAGCCGCCGACGGCCUGUGGCGUCACCGCCGAAGCGGCGGCAUCGUCGCCGCCAACACCAGCAAUAUUGCCAUGGAGUUCAGCAUUCCAAGUGCCAUGCGCACGGGCAGCACGUGGUGAUCGUGCCGCUGGUGUGAUGUCCCAGGCCGCCGGCCACGUCUGAGAUUCCCGGCCGUACUGG
rnacentral:lncRNA from 1 species